GCCUUCGUGGUGUAGUGGUUCAGCACGCUGGGCCGAUACUCCAGAAGUCCGUGGUUCGAUUCCCAGCGUAGGCG
rnacentral:tRNA from 1 species